rnacentral:tRNA from 1 species
GCGCGGUUAGUUUAAUGGUCAGAAUAUCGCUCCGUAAGACCGGAAGGAGGAUGGCACCCCCCGGCAAGAGCGAAGACACGGGUUCGAUUCCCGGACCGUCGCC